rnacentral:rRNA from 1 species
UACAGAGGAUGCAAGCGUUAUCCGGAAUUAUUGGGCGUAAAGCGCGCGCAGGCGGUUUCUUAAGUCUGAUGUGAAAGCCCACGGCUCAACCGUGGAGGGUCAUUGGAAACUGGGGAACUUGAGUGCAGAAGAGAAAAGCGGAAUUCCACGUGUAGCGGUGAAAUGCGUAGAGAUGUGGAGGAACACCAGUGGCGAAGGCGGCUUUUUGGUCUGUAACUGACGCUGAGGCGCGAAAGCGUGGGGAGCAAACAGG